rnacentral:rRNA from 1 species
GCGUUAGACGAACGGUCUGGAAAGUCCGACGAUACAGGGUGAUAGUCCCGUAGUUGACGACGUGUGUUCAGUGAAAUCGAGUAGGGCGGGACACGUGAUAUCCUGUCUGAAUAUGGGGGGACCAUCCUCCAAGGCUAAAUACUACUGACUGACCGAUAGUGAACCAGUACCGUGAGGGAAAGGCGAAAAGAACCCCUGUGAGGGGAGUGAAAUAGAACCUGAAACCGUGUACGUACAAGCAGUAGGAGCAGGCUUUGUCCUGUGACUGCGUACCUUUUGUAUAAUGGGUCAGCGACUUAUAUUCAGUGGCAAGGUUAACCAUCUAGGGGAGCCGUAGGGAAACCGAGUCUUAACUGGGCGUUCAGUCUCUGGAUAUAGACCCGAAACCAGGUGAUCUAGCCAUGGGCAGGUUGAAGGUUGAGUAACAUCAACUGGAGGACCGAACCGACUAAUGUUGAAAAAUUAGCGGAUGACUUGUGGCUAGGGGUGAAAGGCCAAUCAAACCUGGAGAUAGCUGGUUCUCCCCGAAAGCUAUUUAGGUAGCGCCUCGGACGAAUACUACUGGGGGUAGAGCACUGUUAAGGCUAGGGGGUCAUCCCGACUUACCAACCCUUUGCAAACUCCGAAUACCAGUAAGUACUAUCCGGGAGACACACGGCGGGUGCUAACGUCCGUCGUGGAGAGGGAAACAACCCAGACCGCCAGCUAAGGUCCCAAAUUACUACUAAGUGGGAAACGAUGUGGGAAGGCUCAGACAGCCAGGAUGUUGGCUUAGAAGCAGCCAUCAUUUAAAGAAAGCGUAAUAGCUCACUGGUCGAGUCGGCCUGCGCGGAAGAUGUAACGGGGCUAAGUAGUAAACCGAAGCUGCGGCAAUGCACUUUGUGCAUUGGGUAGGGGAGCGUUCUGUAAGCGGUUGAAGGUGUGUGGUAACGCAUGCUGGACGUAUCAGAAGUGCGAAUGCUGACAUGAGUAACGAUAAAGGGGGUGAAAAACCUCCUCGCCGGAAGACCAAGGGUUCCUGUCCAACGUUAAUCGGGGCAGGGUAAGUCGACCCCUAAGGCGAGGCCGAAAGGCGUAGUCGAUGGGAAACGGGUUAAUAUUCCCGUACUUCUUACAAUUGCGAUGGGGGGACGGAGAAGGCUAGGUGGGCCUGGCGACGGUUGUCCAGGUUCAAGUGCGUAGGCUUAAGAGUUAGGUAAAUCCGGCUCUUU